AUUGAACGCUAGCGGGAUGCUUUACACAUGCAAGUCGAACGGAGUGGCGGACGGGUGAGUAGUAUAUCGGCACGUGCCCAGUAGCGGGGGAUAACUACUCGAAAGAGUGGCUAAUCCCGCAUACUAUUGGAGCGGCCGAUAUCGGAUUAGCUAGGUGGUGGGGUAAAGGCUCACCAGGGCAACGAUCCGUAGCUGGUUUGAGAGGACGACCAGCACCACUGGGACUGGUACACGGCCCAGACUCCUACGGUAGGCAGCAGUGGGGAAUUUUGGUCAAUGGGGGAAACCCUGAUCCAGCCAUCCCGCGUGGAGGAUGAAGUCCUUCGGGUUGUAAAGUACUUUUGGCGGAGAAGCGGUAUCUGCAGAAUAAGCACCGGCUAACUACGUGCCAGCAGCCGCGGUAAUUC
rnacentral:rRNA from 1 species